rnacentral:rRNA from 1 species
CGUUCCCGGGCCUUGUACACACCGCCCGUCACAUCAUGGGAGUUGGUUUUACCCGAAGUUACUGACCCGACCGCGAAGGAGGGAGGUACCUAAGGUAAGGCCGAUGACUGGGAGUG